ensembl:rRNA 5S_rRNA 5S ribosomal RNA
CCUAACGAGGCAUACUACAUUGUCAAAGCCUAAUCUCGUCAGAUCUCAGAAGAUAAGCAAGGCUGGGCCUGGUUAGUACUUGGAAGGGAGACUGUCGAGAAUACCAGGUGCUACAGUGGGGC